rnacentral:rRNA from 1 species
AUUGAACGCUGGCGGAAUGCUUUACACAUGCAAGUCGAACGGCAGCAUAGAGAGCUUGCUCUCUGAUGGCGAGUGGCGAACGGGUGAGUAAUAUAUCGGAACGUACCCAGUAAUGGGGGAUAACGAAUCGAAAGAUUCGCUAAUACCGCAUACGCCCUCCGGGGGAAAACGGGGGAUCGUAAGACCUCGCGUUAUUGGAGCGGCCGAUAUCUGAUUAGCUAGUUGGUGAGGUAAAGGAUCACCAAGGCGACGAUCAGUAGCUGGUCUGAGAGGACGACCAGCCACACUGGAACUGAGACACGGUCCAGACUCCUACGGGAGGCAGCAGUGGGGAAUUUUGGACAAUGGGGGCAACCCUGAUCCAGCCAUUCCGCGUGAGUGAAGAAGGCCUUCGGGUUGUAAAGCUCUUUCGCAAGGGAAGAAAACUUAUCUACUAAUACUAGGUGAGGCUGACGGUACCUUGAUAAGAAGCACCGGCUAACUACGUGCCAGCCGCCGCCGUAA